ACAGAGGGGGCAAGCGUUGUUCGGAAUUACUGGGCGUAAAGGGCGCGUAGGCGGCCUUCUAAGUCGAACGUGAAAUCCCCGGGCUCAACCCGGGAACUGCGUCCGAUACUGGAAGGCUUGAAUCCGGGAGAGGGAUGCGGAAUUCCAGGUGUAGCGGUGAAAUGCGUAGAUAUCUGGAGGAACACCGGUGGCGAAAGCGUUCUGCUAGACCUGUACUGACACUGAGGGACGAAAGCUAGGGGAGCGAAUGGGA
rnacentral:rRNA from 1 species